CCAGCGGCGGCACCAGACAACAGGGCGGGCGGGCCCACAGCACAGGCCCAGGCUCCGGUCCACAGCACAGGCCCAGCGCGGCACCGGCUCAGGCCCGGGAGGAGAAGGAGCGGCAGUGGUCCCGCCUCACACACAGCACCGGACUAGGCCCAGGCCCAGGCCCAGCGGGGCCGGGAGUAGUAGCGGACAGUCCAAGGAGCUCAGGCCCAGGCUCCGACACUGGCUCAGGUGGAGCCGCGGCACCGGCACCGGACAACAGGGCGGGCCCACAGCACAGACUCAGGCCCAGGCGGGGCCGGGAGUAGCGGCGGACAGUCCAAGGAGCUCAGGCCCAGGCGGAGCGGCGGCACCGGCGGCACCGGCGGCAGCAGCGGACCAUGGCCCAGGCCCGGGCCUACCCGAGUCACCGGCAGCGGAAGCAGGAGGACGGGGCAGCGACGGCGGCGGCGGCGGGGGGUCCCGGGGCCGGCGCGGAGCUGCUGGUUUUCGGCUACGCCUGCAAGCUGUUCCGUGAGGACGAGCGGGCGCGCUUCAUGGAGCAGGGCCGCCAUCUCAUCCCCUGGAUGGGAGACCAGGAGCUGCUAAUCGACAGGUACGAUUGCCGGGGUCAUUUACACGACCUCUCAGAAUGUGAUGCUGAGUACACCUGGAACAGAGAUUACCAGUUGUCAGAAGAAGAAGCGAGGAUCGAUGCUCUUUGCGAUGAAGAGAGGUAUUUAGCCUUGCAUACGGACUUGCUUGAGGAAGAGGCAAGGCAAGAGGAGGAAUAUAGACGUCUGAGUGAGGCACUGGCAGAGGAUGGCAUCUACAAUGCAGUCGGGUUUGCUUACAAAAGUGAUUACUAUGACCCAUCUCAGCCCACAGAGGAAGAGGAGCUUGCUAAAUCAGAAGCAGCUGCGAUGGAAGACAAUGCGGAAGAGAAUGAGGAGCCAUACACUGCUCCCAGUGGGCUGCUUGUGCCUUCUGAUGUCGAAGUUCCCGCAACAUCCAAAAUGCACGCCAUCAUUGAACGCACAGCAAAAUUUGUCUGUAAGCAGGGAACACCAUUUGAGAUCAUGCUUAAGGCUAAGCAAGCCCGGAAUUCUCAAUUUGACUUUCUGUGCUUUGAUCACUACCUGAAUCCAUAUUAUAAGCACAUUCUCAAGACCAUGAAAGAAGGAAAAUAUAUCGCUCAAACGGAAAAGAAAAUAGAUGAGAAAAGGAAAUCCGUAACCGAGUCUGGUGAAGAAGAUGAUGAUGACAACGAUGGUUCUUACCUCCAUCCGAGUCUUUUUGCUACUAAAAGUAACUCCAGAUUGGAAGAGCUAACAAGGCCUCUGAAAGUGAUGGAUCCAGACCAUCCGCUCGCUGCUUUAUGUCGGAAGGUACAAGCAGAAGCCAAAAAGGAGCAAAUGCUGCGAGAAGCCAACAACGCGGAAGCUGUAGUAACAACAACAACAACAGCAGCAGCAACAACAGCAGCAACAGCAGCAGCAGCAGCAGCAGCAGCAGCAACAGCAGCAGCAGCAGCAGCAGCAGCAACAGCAGCAGCAGCAGCAGCAGCAGCAACAACUGGAGAAUGCACUGCAGAUUCAUCGGUGACAACUAUGUAUUAUGGAUAUUACAUGAUGCCUGAUGGUACAUACUGCCUCACGCCACCUCCUCCUGGGAUGGAGGUUGCUGGUUAUUACGGUAACGUGCCCUCAGAGGCAGCAACAUCAACUACGACAGGGACUGUGGCCACGGCAGCAUCUGACACCACACCUCCACCACCCCCGGAAGGGGACGGCAGCAAUAGCCAGGGAGCCUCUACCACAACCACAGUCAGUGCUACAACUGUGGUUCCUGUUAUCAUUCCUCCUCCUCCCGAUAUCCAACCAGUUAUUGACAAGCUGGCAGAAUAUGUAGCCAGAAAUGGAACCAAAUUUGAAACCAGUGUGAGAGACAAGAAUGAUACACGGUUUGAGUUUCUGCAGCCUUGGCACCAAUACAAUGCGUAUUAUGAGUUCAAGAAACAAUACUUCUCUCAAAAAGAAGGUUACAGUAUUCAACAGGACAUGGCAGCAUCAAGUACUGUCACUGUUUGUUCCGACACCAAUACUUCAGAUGCAAUGCAAUUUGAAGUACAGCAGGAGGUGACGAGCACAAGUUUAUCCAAUGCCAUGAUAACGCAAACAGACUGUGUCAGUUCUAUAGAUAAAGCCAUGAACGAUGGAAAACUUAUAAAAGCAUCUUUUGCACCAAUAAGCUUUGCAAUUAAGGCGAAAGAAAACGACAUGCUCCCUCUGGAGAAAAAGCGAGUAAAACUGGAUGAUGACAGUGAUGAGGAGCAAGAUGCACAGGACCCCACCAGCAGUGAAGCAAACAAAGACCCACCUACCCCCCUUCCUCCAGAGGAGAAGAAACCUCAGCUGACAGCAGAGGAAAUUGAGGCUAAACACGCCAAGCAGAGGCUGGAGGACAGGCUGGCAGCAGCUGCACGGGAGAAGCUUGCACAGGCUUCAAAAGAAUGCAAAGAAAGGCAACUGCAGGCAGAACGCAAGAAGAGAGCUGCCCUUUUCCUGCAGACCCUAAAAACUCCCAUGCCUUGUGGAGAACUGGAAACUACAGUCACUGACGAUACCUCCCACAACAUGCAGGUCACUAGUGAGAUUUCAUACAACGUUCCAGCUAUGGAAGUGAAGAAAUUCCGUCGUGUCUCAAUAAAAAAUGCAAGGAUUUCAAAAGAGAAAGAGAGGAAGGAAAAGGAAAAGGAGAAAGAGAAGGAAAAGGAGAAGGAGAAGGAGAAAGAGAAGGAAAAGGAGAAAGAGAAGGAGAAGGAGAAGGAGAAAGAAAAGGAGAAGGAAAGGGAGAAGGAGAAGGAGAAAGAAAAGAAGAAAGAGAAGAAGCACAGGAAGAAAUCGCGGUCAAGGUCCCAGUCGCGGCCCAGAUAUCGCCUGAGGUCCAGAUCCAGGUCGAGGUCACGGUCAAAAGCAAAACAUUCUCUGCCGAGUGCCUACAGAAGCGUCAGACAUUCAAGAUCAAGAUCGCCUCAUGGGCGAAGAGUUCAGUCAUCAGAGAGGCGACGCGAGGAGAGGGACAGAGACCGAAACGUCCCUACAGCUUAUCGAGUCGGUAACAGCUCAGAUAUAGGUGCCAGAAAGCGAUCAAGGUCUCCAUAUGAGAAGAAGAAGAAAAAGAGUUCAAAAUCUCAUCCGAAGUUAAAAGAAAAACCUUUACGUUCGCGUUCGAGGUCUUUAUCACCAAAAAAAUCCAGCAUGAAGUCUUCAACAAGAAGUUCUGCACAUUCGACUAGUUUGUCACCAGCAGAAAGCAGAGAUUCCAGUCAGGAUCAUUCAAGGGGGGACCUAGAAAGAAAGACUGAGAACUUGGAAAGAAAAUGUAGAAGAUUGGAUGUCAGACAUCGACACAGAGAUAUUGAGGAAUGCCAGCCUGUUCAGCACCAAACAUAACAUGCCAUGAGUGAGCCCAGGGAGACCUCAUCAUUGUGGGACAAAUAUCUCGAAAAGCUCAAGAAGCACUCCCAGAAGUUUGACCGUGAUGGGUCUUGGGAACAAAGCAGGUCUAGGGCUUGAGAAGUCCCCUGCGCCAUUUCUGCCAACUACUAUGGUACAGUGGACUGACUCUAAACCUACUGGUCCAACAUCAACUAUUUGGGCUCAUCUUUCCCACACUGGUUGGUGAAGGAGCAGACUGCAGCCAAUUUAUGUUCACGUCGAUUUUAAUCAGCAGAGCCAAACCUGUGGUCAAAUGAAGCAUUUUUGGCAUGGUGUAGCAUCAAGAUCUAUUAUCCCCCCCGCCCCCACAGUGAACAUGGAUGUGCAUCAUUACUAAACUGCCUUUUAUAUUAUUUGCCUUGCACGGACAAAAAAAAAAGUUGUGUUAGCUGCAAAUUUGCCCCUCGAUGUUUUACUAGCCCUGGUAGUCCGACUGAAGGGAAUUUUCCAAAUAACUCCAAUACCCACUAAAUUAGGGUCUAAGGUCAUGUAGCAAUCUCUCUGAAUGGCCGAUAUUAAAAAUCCCAGCUCCACUGGCAAGUUUCAAUGAAACCUGCCAGGUGAAUUUAAUUUUUUUUUCAUGUUACAGACCAGUCUGGUCUAAAAUACAAUGUACAAGACUUGUUCAUUUGUGUUAUACUUUUGACCCCAGAGAUUUGGAAAGGGAUAUUUGUGGUCUGUUCCUUCACAGUUUCAGCAGCAUGUGUGAGAUGUUUGCACUAGUGAGAGUGUAGUUUUGAGCUUAAUGUGCUUGGGCAGCUUGCUACUCACAGAAGUGGUUCUCAUUGCCAGCUUGGAGCAUUCCCGUCUUAGGUUGGAAAAUGUGAAGCAAAUUAAUGACACUGGGUUGUCUGUUUAUACCACUAAUUACAUAGAGAAGUAAUUCAGUCUAAUUACUUAUACUGUCUGCAAUCCUUGGCACAUUUCCAGGUAUAGUGAAGUUGACAAAAGCAGCAAGACAUAAAGAGAGCAAAACACAAAGCGCUGGCGGUACUCAGCGGGUCAAGCAGCUUCUGUGGAGGGGAUAGUCACGUCUGAAGAAAGGACCCAACACAAAAUGUCUGUCCCUCUCCCUCCACAGAAGCUGUCUGACCCGCUGGGUUUUGCUCAAGAUUCCAACAUUUGCAGUUCCUUGUGUCCACACAGAAGAAGAACCAUGUUGCUUAGGUGCAGGGCAAGGUUUGACCAGAUGGAAGAAUGCAGUGUCUUCCCACAAGCUGAAGAUAGACACAAAGCUGGAGUAACUCAGCGGGUCAGACUGCAUCUCUGGAGACAAGGAAUAGGUGCCCUCCCCACAGGCUCUUUGGUUAAGAAUAGUUGGACACCAUACAUUACCUUAGUGUCAAAGUGAUAGACACUUGAUCAGAAUGACACCCUGGAAGAAUUCAGUUUAUAUAGUUGUGGAGUGUGAGGAAUGGCGUUGUCUGAGCCAGCAUGCACAGUUCCCAGUUGAUAGUGGCGAUGAUGUGUUUUGGUGUCCUUCAUCCACCCUGGUUCUUUCAGAUAUUUCACUGUAUCAUACCGUGAUAUUAACAGCAGCAUUGUGUAGGAAAGUCACAGCAGAUGUUGGUUUAAACCGAAGAUAGACACUAAAAGCUGGAGUAACUCAGCGGGACAGGCAGCAUCUCUGGAGAGAAGGAAUGGGUGACGUUUUUGGGGACGAGAUCCUUCUUACCCGAAACGUCACCCAUUCCUUCUCUCCAGUGUCCCGCUGAGUUGAUAGCGGCAUUGUUUGAUGUGCAAUCCUGAAGCUAAAUUUCAAGCUUGCUUUGCUCCUCAGAUGAUGCGUGCCUAGUAGCAUUGAGCCUGGUGCUGCGGGUGACUAGUGUUUCCCAGUGCAGGCAGACUGUCACUGACAGCCAGGUGACUAGCACAUGUUGCUGAUUGGUGGUGGGCAACGGUGGAGAAGCUAAUUGACCGUUUCCAUAUAGGCCUUUCUGUUAGAACACUUUUAUUGGGUUGGGCUACCUUUCCCCAUUUACCUUGGGCCAACGGAAUCAAGGGAUAUGGGGAGAAAGCAGGAACGGGUAAUGAUUCUGGAUAAUCAACCAUGAUCAUAUCGAAUGACAGUGCUGGCUCGAAGGGCAGAAUGGCCUACUCCACCUAUUUUCCAUGUUUACCCGCCAAUAUCAUCAAAAGAUUGUGCAGAACUUAGUUUUCUCCAGCAUUAAUACAGUACUUGAUUUGCAUUAAUACAGUAUUUGUAUUAAUUAACAAGUAUUGCUAAUUAAUACUUAGUUCAGCAUGACUCCUGUUCAGCAACAAUUCCCAAGUCUUCCCUUCCCUUUGAAGGAGAAUGUUUUAAGAGCUUUGUUUACCCCGUACUAUCCUUUACCAGCCGCCUGCCCCCACACUAGAAGGUGAGGGAAGAGAAAGCUGUAUUGAUUUCCCACCCAUCACAAGGGUCAGAUUCUAACUCUAGUUCAGUCCAAGAACAAUGCUUGCAUUUUACUUUCCCAAUGACAAAGAUCAGUUCCCUGAAUUGAGAUGACUUCUGCGUCCAUUGCUGAUGGUACAUAUAUUAGAAAAGAGCAGCACAAAGCACCUCUCUUGACGUGGUGGAAGUUACAAUGCCCUUCAGCUGAAAACGGUGACCCUCCACAUACAAUAUUCCCAUUAUUCAGGGAUGUUUGACUUUGCAGAAUCAAAGCUGCCUCCAUACCAGCGUAAACAGCUGCAGUGGAAAAUUCUUUUUAUCUUUCACCCAUUCAUUGAGUGACUAUUCAUUUAAUUUACAUUUUAUGAAAAGAUAAUUAGUAGCCAGGCCACCUCACAGAUCUAUGUUUGUAGCUAGAGUCCCGGUUUGAGACUGGAAACUUUGUCGCACUCAUGUUUUGAAUCAUCGAAUUCAUUACACUUGAGGAAUGGCGAUGUAGAACUCUAGUGAGGUUGACGGAGACCAGACCUUUCCUGAACUCUCUUCAUGCUGCCCAAAUGAUUCAAGUUUAUCCAUUCCCUCAUCCCAAAUGAAGGGCAGCCUUUUACAGUCAUUAUCUAUUCUGAGCGCUGCUGGAUAUUGUGCAAAAGCACUUUAAGUGUUGCUGCCUCAGUAAUGGUGGGGAGUUUUGAAGAGAUAAAGUGCACCUACCUACCAGAUCUCAAGCCCAAAAUCAAGCGUUGAAGAUGGCACAUUCAGCACCACAUGGGACUCGCUUUGAAAGGUCACAAUUUGUUUGUUCAUGGAGGAUAAUGAAUUAAAUGAAUAAGUUAGCCUACCUCUGGUAGAGUCUCAAUUAUUUUGUUAAUUGCUUAUCCUCUGGCUACACCUCGCCCCCUUCCUCCUUUGUCCCCCUGAUCUGGGAGUAUGGGCUUGUGCUUUUUCAAAAUCAAAAUUAAAACCAGUAAUUAAUGAGCUGAUUUCAGCUGCAUUGCCACCAGAUCCUUAGUUUGCAAACAACUAAGGAAUGUUGCAGGGCAGAAUUGGGAUGUAAAGGAUGGGAGGGCCAGUUGGCCGUGAUAUCUGAUUGUAAGGGGACAUUGUCCCUGUGCUUUUGCUUCCCCCUCUAUCCGACUGGGCUUGUUCAUUGGUAUGUGAAGGAUAACUUCAUUUGAAGAAUGGAGAAGACCUUGCCAAAGGGGUGGCUCACAGGAAAAGGAUGAAACAGUAGCGGCAGAACUUCUAUCAACAGUGCAGAGUAAAAUAACUCAGGAUCUCAUGGCCAAAGUGAGAGCAAUGUUGGCUGCGUCAAAAGAUGUAUAAAUUGAAAAAGUUUGGAGGAAAAAAGUACCAGUGGGCACAGCAUCAGCGCGAGGAUCCUCAAUGGCUUCACAAGAAACGCGAGCUGCCUUGUUGCAAGAACUAAUUUAUUUAGACAAUUUGGGCAGCAUUCCACUUUGGCAUAAAGUUUUGUACAGCUCCUUUUGAUAAGUACAGUUUGAACCAAGAUCUUAAGUCUGUUCUGUUGGUGUUUUGCAAUUUCCUCUCCUGUUCUUGAACACAACAAAAUAUGCUUCUAGGGUAUCUGAGUACCACCACGUCUCUGAAAAUUUGGGGCUGCCCUUUGAGCAUUAAAUCUCGCUGCCUAUAAUCACUUGUGACAACCAGACAGGAGCUUGGAUUAUCCUUCUGUGAAGGAGUUCUACUAUUUGAUUUCUCAAAGAUGAGGUAACAUCCCAUUUUGUAAAUUUAAGGAGUUCUCUUGACGGCGGUCUUGGAUAACGGCUGGUUGGUUAGUGGGGUUUAUCCUUGGAGCGCUGUGUGCAUACGAGUCUAGGAAGAUGCGUGGUUGUGCAGCAAAACACACCCUCAGCGUUGCACACCAUGUCCUGCGUACCGCCCACUUGCAGAAGUGUUUGCAUUGAUUUAAAUCGCUACUAACAAAUUUACUUUGAUUUCAUACCCAGAAAAACUAUGUGAGUGGACUGUGGUAACACUUUAAACUACAGAUGCAAACUAUUGAAAUAUUAAAGAUAAUUUAUUUGU